rnacentral:lncRNA from 1 species
UUUCUAUGGUUCUGCAAUUCCCUGAGGGUGCUCAGCAGUUAAGAGCAGGCGGAAGAGCUGCAUCAAUCUGAGUCUGUUAGGGUAAAAUUACCCUAAAUCACUCCUUGAUAUCAAUUCCCCACAAGUAGGAAAAGUCCAAAUACAGAAGUCCUUGCUCUGGAGAGCUACAUACAGCAAAGCAGAGUGGUGGAGUUAAGAGCUCUGAGCUCAAGACAAGGAGCUGAGAUUCGAAUCCUGGCCUUGCUGGUUAGAACUUCUGUCACUGUGGGUAGAAUAUUUCUUCCCUCAAAGCCUCAGCUUCCUCAUUUGUAAUACAGGGCUGUAAGUACUCACCUUGAACAACAUUUAUGAAUGUUAAAAAUGAUAAAUAUGCCAAAUAUCCAGCAUAACCUCUGAUUCAUAUUAAACACUCAAGAAAUGAUUGUUGUUCUUGCUGGUUUUCAUAUGAGCAGAGUAGUCAGGCGCCUUGACGUGGAACCCAGACAGUCAGGGACUGGAUCAAAACCCCUUUAUUUAUCAAGUAUGUGACUUAACUUACCUGAACCACACAAGUCAUUGGAAAAUGAGGACAAUAAUACCUACGGAAUGUCCUUAGGGUUGAAGAGGCAGUGUUUGUAAACGCUUAGAACAGGACUGGCCCAUAGCAAGUGUCAUGCACAUGUGAGCUAUUGCUGUUUGUAGUAAUGCUAUCAAAACCUUCAUCAUACUGUCAUUAUGAUCUUUAUCAUCACCAUGUAGGGUGACCAACAGUCCUGGUUUGCUCUAAACUCUCCUGGUUUUAGCACCAAGUCUCGGAUCCUGGGAAACUCCUAAGUUCUGGAAAAAAACACAACAGAGUCGAGCUCUCCCUUGGACUAUGAGUCAACAGUCUGCCAGCAUUGGUGUUAACGGCCCACUCUCAUAAGCCAGACUAGGUCAUUACAGUCAUCACAGAGUUUAUGCGACCAGGCCAGCACCCAUUCCACCCCCCAACACAUUGGAAGGUAAAGUUUCAUUCCUUUCUCAAUAAUUUCCAGGGAACUGGUCAUUCUAAGCAACUGGAAGAAAAACAUUUCUACAACAAAGAAGCAUUUGAGCGUGAAAAACCUUUUGAGUCCCAGUUUCCGCUCUGCCUUGGAAGCACCGUGAUUUGGAGGGGGCCCAACAGCUGUGAGUUUCACUCUCACAAACCAAUCAUUUCUAAAUAGAGCAAUACCACAAUCUUAAUUUUCCACUCAAUGGUGAAAGCAGUCACAUUAUUCAAAAUUAUUCAUCAGCACU